GUGGGGAAUAUUGGACAAUGGGGGGAACCCUGAUCCAGCCAUGCCGCGUGUGUGAAGAAGGCCUUUUGGUUGUAAAGCACUUUAAGCGAGGAGGAGGCUACCGAGAUUAAUACUCUUGGAUAGUGGACGUUACUCGCAGAAUAAGCACCGGCUAACUCUGUGCCAGCAGCCGCGGUAAUACAGAGGGUGCAAGCGUUAAUCGGAUUUACUGGGCGGACAGCGCGCGUAGGUGGCCAAUUAAGUCAAAUGUGAAAUCCCCGAGCUUAACUUGGGAAUUGCAUUCGAUACUGGUUGGCUAGAGUAUGGGAGAGGAUGGUAGAAUUCCAGGUGUAGCGGUGAAAUGCGUAGAGAUCUGGAGGAAUACCGAUGGCGAAGGCAGCCAUCUGGCCUAAUACUGACACUGAGGUGCGAAAGCGUGGGGAGCAAACAGGAUUAGAUACCCGAGUAGUCC
rnacentral:rRNA from 1 species